GUACGGCUGCGAAGGAAGUCACAAACACUUCCAUUUCUACUGUAGAGGAUUCAUCUUCUUCUCCCACUGUCGCACCUUUGAUUAAGAAUAUACCUAGUGGAGCUUUUUCGAAGUCAUCAACAUCUGCAAAAUUUAAAAAAAAUCAUCAGAAGACCAAAGGGUUCAAUUUCAAUAGCCUGAAGUUUUCCUUGAUAAAAAAUUCGCUGAAUCCUACCCAGCUCAUGGAGUUGAACAUCACAAAACUAUUUAAACUAAGGGUCCU
rnacentral:lncRNA from 1 species